UGCGUAGGCGGAUUAUUUAGUCAGUGGUGAAAUCCUGCGGCUUAACCGUAGAACUGCCAUUGAUACUGGUAAUCUUGAAUUUAGUUGAGGUAGGCGGAAUGUGUAAUGUAGCGGUGAAAUGCUUAGAGAUUACACAGAACACCAAUUGCGUAGGCAGCUUACUAAGCUAAUAUUGACGCUGAGGCACGAAAGCAUGGGGAGCGAACAGGAUUAGAUACCCUGGUAGUCC
rnacentral:rRNA from 1 species